rnacentral:tRNA from 1 species
GGCUUCAUAGCUCAGUUGGUUAGAGCGUCGGACCGGUCUCGCAAGGUCACGGGUUCAAACCCCGUUGAAGUCC